UGACCCAAAAGCAGCCACGGUGCCUCUUUCUU
rnacentral:piRNA from 1 species